rnacentral:lncRNA from 1 species
CGGCCUGACUCUGUCUCGGGCCGGGAGGUGCUUUUGUGCUCGGCCGCGUCUUCGCCAACAAAUGUCGCUGCCCCCGGCUCGGCGUAGGUGUAUCCCAUUCAGGUCGACGGGAUUGAACCCUGGGUUCACUGCAAUCACGUGUGGCAAGCCACACCGGAAGAA